UAUAGUAUGUUGUAGUAAGCAUUCUAUUUUUUGGUAAUAGAGGUGAAUUGUUUCUACUAUUU
rnacentral:tRNA from 1 species